rnacentral:rRNA from 1 species
CUACGGGCCGCAGCAGUGGGGAAUAUUGGACAAUGGGCGCAAGCCUGAUCCAGCAAUGCCGCGUGAGUGAAGACGGCCUUAGGGUUGUAAAACUCUUUCGCUAGGGAAGAUAAUGACUGUACCUAGUAAAGAAGUCCCGGCUAACUCCGUGCCAGCAGCCGCGGUAAUACGGAGGGGACUAGCGUUGUUCGGAAUUACUGGGCGUAAAGAGUUCGUAGGCGGACUGACAAGUUAGAGGUGAAAUCCCAGGGCUCAACCCUGGAACUGCCUUUAAAACUGUCAGUCUAGAGACCGGAAGAGGUUAGGGGAAUACCUAGUGUAGAGGUGAAAUUCGUAGAUAUUAGGUGGAACACCAAUGGCGAAGGCGCCUAACUGGUCCGGUACUGACGCUGAGGAACGAAAGCGUGGGGAGCAAACAGGAUUAGAUACCCUCGUAGUC